UGGGGAAUAUUGCGCAAUGGCCGAAAGGCUGACGCAGCGACGCCGCGUGGGGGAUGAAGCAUUUCGGUGUGUAAACCCCUGUUGCCCGGGACGAACAAGCAGAUUUUUCUGCUCUGACGGUACCGGGUGAGGAAGCACCGGCUAACUCCGUGCCAGCAGCCGCGGUAAUACGGAGGGUGCGAGCGUUGUCCGGAUUUACUGGGUGUAAAGGGCGCGCGGGCGGGAUAAAAAGUCAGUGGUGAAAUCCUACAGCUUAACUGUAGAACUGCCUUUGAUACUUUUAUUCUUGAGUUCGGGAGAGAGAGACGGAAUUCCAGGUGUAGUGGUGAAAUACGUAGAUAUCUGGAAGAACACCAGUUGCGAAGGCGGUCUCUUGGUCCGACACUGACGCUGAGGCGCGAAAGCGUGGGGAGCAAACA
rnacentral:rRNA from 1 species